rnacentral:misc_RNA from 1 species
UUGCUGCACACAACAACGAUCUUGCCGCGGCCCAGAGCUUUGGAUUGAAGACGGCCUUCGUGCCGCGUCCGACAGAAUACGGCCCCCAUCAGAGCCGCGACUUCAGGCCGGAGGGAAGCUGGGACUACGUCGUGAAGGACUUCAACGAUCUGGCGGACAAGCUCGGCUGCUAGAAAAUGCUUCGCCCUUCGAGGCCCAUAGCUGUUCGAAGAACGGCGUUCUUUCGAACGCCUAU